UACGUAGGGUGCAAGCGUUAAUCGGAAUUACUGGGCGUAAAGCGUGCGCAGGCGGUUUUGUAAGUCUGACGUGAAAUCCCCGGGCUUAACCUGGGAAUUGCGUUGGAGACUGCAAGGCUGGAAUCUGGCAGAGGGGGGGUAGAAUUCCACGUGUAGCAGUGAAAUGCGUAGAGAUGUGGAGGAACACCGAUGGCGAAGGCAGCCCCCCUGGGCUAAGAUUGACGCUCAUGCACGAAAGCGUGGGGAGCAAACAGG
rnacentral:rRNA from 1 species